GACGAACGCUGGCGGCGUGCCUAAUACAUGCAAGUCGAGCGGACGAAUCGAAAGCUUGCUUUUGUUUCGUUAGCGGCGGACGGGUGAGUAACACGUGGGCAACCUGCCCUGUAGACGGGGAUAACACCGAGAAAUCGGUGCUAAUACCGGAUAACACGAAAUGUCGCAUGACGUUUCGUUGAAAGACGGCGCAAGCUGCCGCUACAGGAUGGGCCCGCGGCGCAUUAGCUAGUUGGUGAGGUAACGGCUCACCAAGGCGACGAUACGUAGCCGACCUGAGAGGGUGAUCGGCCACACUGGGACUGAGACACGGCCCAGACUCCUACGGGAGGCAGCAGUAGGGAAUCUUCCGCAAUGGACGAAAGUCUGACGGAGCAACGCCGCGUGAGCGAAGAAGGCCUUCGGGUCGUAAAGCUCUGUUGUUAGGGAAGAACAAGUAACGCAGUAACUGGCGUUACCGUGACGGUACCUAACGAGAAAGCCACGGCUAACUACGUG
rnacentral:rRNA from 1 species